UACGUAGGGGGCAAGCGUUGUCCGGAAUCAUUGGGCGUAAAGAGCGUGUAGGCGGCCCGAUAAGUCCGCUGUGAAAGUCAACGGCUCAACUGUUGGAUGCCGGUGGAUACUGUCGGGCUAGAGUACGGAAGAGGCAAGUGGAAUUCCUGGUGUAGCGGUGGAAUGCGCAGAUAUCAGGAGGAACACCUAUAGCGAAGGCAGCUUGCUGGGACGUUACUGACGCUAAGGCGCGAAAGCGUGGGGAGCGAACAGG
rnacentral:rRNA from 1 species